AGGAAGCAUCACCUGCUGAUUUCUGCAGAGCAAAGUCCUGCCCCAAAGCAGACCAUGCUGUUUUUUUCCUGGUGAGUCAGCAACCCUACAAAAUGCAGAAGAGGACAGGAAUGGAUGCUUCUUUUAAAAAGAGACUACAGAGAUUUGGACAUGACUUUCUGCUUUGACCUGCUCCUGUCCUGACUAGGCUCUUCCACUGCAACAGACUAGGGAUUUCUUCAGAUGGAGAGAACAAGAACUAGAAGCCAAAAGCACCCUGAAACUUGCCUUUGGAAUGUCAGAAAGGACUGAGGAAGGCCACCAGGCUAGAUAAAAACCUCUUUCAAGAACCUGAGCGCUGAGCGAACGCAAACACCUCCAGAGAGCUGCCGGCUGAUAGAGCCGACUUGGAACAAUAUGCUACAGUUGAGAGAAAAUUGCCGAGCAAAAUUGGAGUUGCUGUAAAGAAGGGAGAACCUUGGACCAGGAGAACAACAUAUACAGAUGUGUCGGCUUGGAAGGAAAUAAAAUCAUGAAGGCUUCCUUUUUGAACAGUAUUUAAUGCAAAUGUGGCUUGCUAUAAAACAGUCUAAUCCU